rnacentral:misc_RNA from 1 species
GAACGCACAUUGCGCCUUCUGGUAAUCCGGGAGGCAUGCCUGUCUGAGCGUCAUUACAUCAUUCAAGUCUAAGUCUUUUGAUUUAUGACAUGGUUUUGGGUGCUUGUCUACAAUUGUAGUCUCGCCUGUAAUGUAUUGACUGUGCUUUUGCAGCCUUAGUUGUAGCUAUAAACGUCAUCAACUUUAAGGUCUGAACUGGUGCGUCUUGUUUUUUAGUGUUGGUGUUCUCACUAGCCUUUAAGUUUGACCUCAGAUCAGGUAGGAAUACCCGCUGAACUUAAG